CCUACGGGUGGCUGCAGUGAGGAAUAUUGGUCAAUGGCCGGAAGGCUGAACCAGCCAUGCCGCGUGAAGGUCAGUGCCCUAUGGGCGUUAAACUUCUUUUGUGCGGGAGCAAUAAUGGUCACGUGUGGCCAGACGAGAGUACCGUACGCAUAAGCAUCGGCUAACUCCGUGCCAGCAGCCGCGGUAAUACGGGGGAUGCAAGCGUUAUCCGGAUUUAUUGGGUUUAAAGGUUGAGUAGGCUGGGAGGUAAGUCAGCGGUGAAAUGCCCCCGCUCAACGGGGUGAAGUGCCAUGGAUACUGCCUGGCUGGAAUGCGGAUGCGGUGGGAGGAAUGUGUGGUGUAGCGGUGAAAUGCAUAGAUAUCACACAGAACACCGAUUGCGAAGGCAUCUCACGAAUCCGCGAUUGACGCUGAUGCACGAAAGCGUGGGUAUCAAACAGGAUUAGAUACCCCAGUAGUC
rnacentral:rRNA from 1 species